rnacentral:rRNA from 1 species
UACGGGGGGGGCAAGCGUUGUUCGGAAUUACUGGGCGUAAAGGGCUCGUAGGCGGCCAACUAAGUCGGAUGUGAAAUCCCCAGGCUCAACCUGGGAACUGCAUCCGAUACUGGAUGGCUUGAAUUCGGGAGAGGGAUGCAGAAUUCCAGGUGUAGCGGUGAAAUGCGUAGAUAUCUGGAGGAAUACCGGUGGCGAAGGCGGCAUCCUGGACCGACAUUGACGCUGAGGUGCGAAAGCGUGGGGAGCGAACAGG